rnacentral:rRNA from 1 species
UACGUAGGAGGCGAGCGUUGUCCGGAAUUACUGGGCGUAAAGAACGCGUAGGCGGCGCGAUACGACCGAUGUGAAAUCCCCGGGCUCAACCUGGGAACUGCAUUUGUGACUGCAUGGCUGGAGUGCGGCAGAGGGGGAUGGAAUUCCGCGUGUAGCAGUGAAAUGCGUAGAUAUGCGGAGGAACACCGAUGGCGAAGGCAAUCCCCUGGGCCUGCACUGACGCUCAUGCACGAAAGCGUGGGGAGCAAACAGG